CCUACGGGGGGCAGCAGUGAGGAAUAUUGGUCAAUGGGCGCGAGCCUGAACCAGCCAAGUAGCGUGAAGGAUGACUGCCCUACGGGUUGUAAACUUCUUUUAUAAAGGAAUAAAGUGAGGCACGUGUGCCUUUUUGUAUGGACUUUAUGAAUAAGGAUCGGCUAACUCCGUGCCAGCAGCCGCGGUAAUACGGAGGAUCCGAGCGUUAUCCGGAUUUAUUGGGUUUAAAGGGAGCGUAGAGGGGUUGUUAAGUAAGUGGUGAAAGUUUGCGGCUCAACCGUCAAAUUGCAAUUGAUACUGGCAGCCUUGCGUACAGUUGCGGUAGGCGGAUUUCGUGGUGUCGC
rnacentral:rRNA from 1 species